UACAUAUGUUCAUCAUCCACUCCUCUGUUGGGUACGAGGAGAGUCAACUUGUCUACUUUUGAUAAGAAGUAGUCAUAAAGAAGAGGAGGGAAAGAUGAUUCAGCAUUUGUUAGAUGGUGUGACUCUACCUUACUCUCUCAUCUGUACCAUGGGAUCUGAAGGCUUUGAGAGGGAGAAAUGGAUCUGAAUACUGAUGGUCCAUGCAUGAGCAAGAGGAUGACUCCCCUUCCUCAUAUAGUUAUAGCAAGAACUCUUGCUGAACUGGGAAUGUACCAGUUCUGGCUAGAAUCUGGCAAGCCGGAUUGCUGAGUGGAUCCCUGUCUCUCCCUCCUGAGGACUAGGAUCACAGGAGACUCCAAUGACUGCCACUCUGAGAAUCUGAACUCCAGACCUCAUCCAGUCAUCUCCUCAACCCAUAUUCUAUUCUUGAUUCUGCCAUCUGCAUUCUACUUGGGAAAGAAGGACUUUUUGUUCAGUUUCAGAUGUCUUUUGCAUCCACACCAGCUUCCAGAUACCUGCAGCUAGAGUGUUUGUUUGAAUCACCAUGAAGACUAUGACACUUUUUGAUUGCUAAAGAAAUCCAUGGGUUUGAGGGGCACUUAUUCCUUCCAAGAUGAGUCCUGUUAUCAACCACUACUUCCUAAACAGUCUAUGUCAAGGUAUUUGAGCAUCCUAAUAAAUGCAAUCAGUGGCAUA